AUACGGAGGAUGCGAGCGUUAUCCGGAUUUAUUGGGUUUAAAGGGUGCGUAGGCGGAUUUUUAAGUCGGUGGUUAAAUGUCGGGGCUCAACCCCGGACCGCCAUCGAAACUGGAGAUCUAGAGAUAAAUGGAGGCAUGCGGAAUGCGAGGUGUAGCGGUGAAAUGCAUAGAUAUCACGCAGAACUCCGAUUGCGAAGGCAGCAUGCCGUGUUUGAUCUGACGCUGAGGCACGAAAGUGUGGGUAUCGAACAGGAUUAGAUACCCUGGUAGUCCACACAGUAAACGAUGAAUACUGGCUUUUCGGGUAGAUUGAUACCUGAGAGGCUGAGCGAAAGCGUUAAGUAUUCCACCUGGGGAGUACGCCGGCAACGGUGAA
rnacentral:rRNA from 1 species